GCCUCUUCUCUUACGUAGGACCACAAACGAAUACCGAGUCGAACCAUUUUAAUCGCCUCAACAAAUGUGACACUAAAUUCUUUAAGAAGAUUCGCAUGGCCAUUCAAUUUCCUUCUCCAGGCUUGUUCAGGUGGUGAAGCACUAUCAAAAUCGAACAGCUGCAAAGUCGACUUGCUGAUAUACUCUUCCGGUGGCCACGAGUUCUUUCUACAGUGAAACAAGUUUCCACUAACCA
rnacentral:misc_RNA from 1 species